rnacentral:lncRNA from 1 species
CAUUGCUUCAAACAAUAAUGCGCAUCCAAACAUGAAAUUGCUUUGCGAGUAUAGCACCAUGAAAAAGUGAUAAAAAAAAUACCUCCCAGUGAUGGUUCAUUCAAACAAGAAACCCUAUUAUCUCACAGUAUGUCACAGAUUCUGCAUAUGGAGUACCAACUAGAGAGAAUAUGAAGCCAGACUCGAGUCAUAAGUCUCAACUUAUUUACCUUCCAACCAAAUAACAAAGACCCAGCUUCAUAACAUACAGCCAAUGCAGCAAACAACCGGAGUAGCACAUACCUUUUCGCUCAACAGCAGAGACUGAUUGUUUGUGUGUGUGAGACCUACUUGCACUUCUUCAAUACAAGCAUUGUUGGUCUUAAAUAUUUGAUGACAUCGAUACAAGCAUAUGCUAGGGUGCUAUAACGUAUGUGUGCAAAGAGAACAGAUUAUCUGAAAAAGAUAGAAGCAACCAACAACUACAUGCACACUUCCUUUAGAUGCCUCAUUGCUUCAAACAAUAAUGACGCAUCCAAACAUGAAAUUGCUUUGCAAGUAUAGCUCCAUGAAAAAGUGAUAAAAAAAAAUACCUCCUGAUGAUAGUUCAUUCAAACAAGAAACCCUAUUACCUCACAAAACAUCACACAUUCUGCAUAUUGAGUACCAACUAAAGAGAAAUGAAGCCAGAUUUGAGUCAUAAGUCUCAACUUAUUCACUUUCCAACCAAAUAACAAAGACCCAGCUUCAUAACGUACAGCCAAAGCAGCAAACAACCAGAGUAGCAAUGUAUGAGACACCCAAGUUCUAACAGUGACAUUAAAAUAGCACAAUAUUUCUCAUCAAAAAGGUGACACGAACCUGUGUCAAACAUAUGCACAUAGCAUAACUCGUGGUAGUAUAAGAUACUGAUAAUGACACACAAUACGCUCAAGCAUCAUUUCAAAGAAAAAGCAUAUGGUAGGGUGCUAUAACAUAUGUGUGCAAAGUGCAAACACAAUCUACAGGAAUAUGCAAAAUUCCAAAAUGAAGCUUGUCAGAAAAAAAUUCCGAACUACAAGUUCUGUAGCACUCCUUUGCAAACAAUAUCUUUUUUGGGUAAAUGUCUCCUUAAAAGCAUACAAUGAACCAAAUAUCAGGAAAAAUAACAAAAUUUAAAAAAAGAAGAAAUAUAUAAAGCACGCCAAAAUUAUAAGCAUUAAAAAACGAUCCAAAUAUUCAAAAGUAAAAAAAAAACAUGUGUUUAAGUUGACAUGUUAAAUUUUCUUAAAGAUCCAUCAGAACACAAACAGAAAUAACAUAACUUCAAGAAACAGAAAUUAUAGAAGAAAACUAUCAUGAAAAUGUCCAAAGUAAUUUGUCUUAAAAGAGAGAGCAGGUCAAAAGAGGAAUUGAUUCAAAGGGUAAAUGUAAUCAAAAGAACAAUUAAAAAAAUUAGCAAGAUGUUCAGAUUCAUCUUUUGUUGAUCACUCAAAGAAGAGACGAUAUAUCUACCUUCAUCUUGGCCAUGAACCCAACCUAAGAGGUAGACAUGGCUGCAGUGGUUGCCACAUGGGCCAUCCAAACUGCCCUGCCAUCAACCUGUUACGAUUGGAGAACAAAGCAUUGAAGAGAGGAGAUAAUGGAUUCAUGCUUCUUACAUACUAUAUGGAUCUAGGCUUCAGCAUCACCUUGAACUACUAAUCUCAGUUCAAACAUCAACAUGGUGAAUGGUAGAAACCAAUAUUUAUUUUAAUUUCAUCAUCAUCUCCUCUUAAUGAAUCAAUUGGAAUGGUAUGAAACGAAUCAAGCAAUGUGAAGGGAAGAUUAGGGGAAAAAUAAAUCUUCAAUAUUAGAACGGAAAGAAAAAACAGAUAAGAACCAUUUCAAAAUCAUCAAUUAUUUCCUCAUCACAAGACUACCUUAUUUCCUCAUCACCUUGAACGACCAAUCUCAGUUCGAACACCAACAUGGUGAAUGGUUGAAACCAAUAUUUUUUUUAAUUUCAUCAUCAUCACCUCUUAUUGAAUCAAUAGGAAUGGCAUGAAACGAAUCAAGCAAUGUGAAGGGUAGAUUAGGGGAAAAAUAAAUCUUCAAUAUUAGAAUGGAAAGAAAAAAAGAUAAGACAACCAUUUCAAAAACAUCAAUUGUUUCCUCAUCAUGACUACAUCCUCUGAUCCCCAAAUACCUUAUACUGUAUACUAAACUAAUCAGCUAGCAAGGGUGACAUCACCUAAGUCCAAGUCAACCACCGCAAUGAUUUUUCCUUCCCCAUUAUUAGGGUUUUAGAUGGAACCCUUCGAUUAUUGAAAAAUAUGAGACUCGAAUAUCUCCACCUCUCUUCCAAUAUUUUUUUCUAAUUGCGGUAAUCAUAUGAGUGAAUAGAUGCAAUUGAACAAGAAAAUCUUAGUUCCAAUAAAUUAAUUCACAGAAUAAGCCAAAAAAAUAAAUUCUGCACAAGAGAACAACAAGACCAAAUCAACAUCCAACAAGCAGAAACACAACAGACUAACCAAUCAAAUUCCAAAAACAAAACUAUGAUACCAUAAAAUUUUUUGCACAUAUCGUGACAUGGACUUAUACCCAACUUCUGUAUACGAAAGUUAGUGGAUGAAAAGCAAGCCCCGAACAAUAUGACCAACUGCUUUGUCAACAAAAUGCACAAAUGAUGUUGAAACACACGGGCAUUUAGCUUAAAACACCUGCACAAUCAAUACACCACACAAAUGUUAUUAAAUUUUAGGUCUUUAAGAUAUACAUAACACCCAAUUGCACAUAUACAUAACAAUUCACCAAUACAUGAGCAUUUAGCUUAAAACACCUGCAUGAUCAUUAUUGUGCGUGUCAAACCUUCAUUCUACAAGCAUCGAUUAUUGUCAAUACCAAACAGAGUUGGCUUUUCUAUAUGAAUUUUGAGCUACAUAUAUUAUUGCCAAAACAGUUAUUCAUAACUUGCAUCACUAAAUAUUACUCAUAUACCACUGCAGAUUAUUUUAAGAACUAUACUGUUAAGGGAGAGGCAAAUGCAUGAAAAGAAAAAAUAAGCAGCAAAACAUCCAAAACUCAGAACACAUGAAUGUAUUGGGACCGACCAUUAAUGUAGCACAACUGAACGUGAUCAUUCGAACAAAAAACAUUCAUUAGUAAAUAGCCAUAGAAAUGCAACUGCUAAAUUAAAGAUUUUCAGCAUUACAAUUAACACGAUAGCAAUCUUCAAAUGCAAUCAACCACAAUUUCUACUCAAUUAAAUAACUCAAGAGAACCUAGUGCAGAUUAUUAACAGAGGCAAAUGCAUAUAAAUGAAUAAGCAGCGAAAUGUCC